UACGUAGGGUGCAAGCGUUGUCCGGAAUUAUUGGGCGUAAAGAGCUCGUAGGCGGCUUGUCACGUCGACUGUGAAAACCCGGGGCUCAACUCCGGGCCUGCAGUCGAUACGGGCAGGCUAGAGUUCGGUAGGGGAGACUGGAAUUCCUGGUGUAGCGGUGAAAUGCGCAGAUAUCAGGAGGAACACCGGUGGCGAAGGCAGAUCUCUGGGCCGUAACUGACGCUGAGGAGCGAAAGCAUGGGGAGCGAACAGG
rnacentral:rRNA from 1 species